UACAGAGGUCUCAAGCGUUGUUCGGAAUUACUGGGCGUAAAGGGCGCGUAGGCGGGCUGCCAAGUCUGGGGUGAAAUUCCACGGCUCAACCGUGGAACUGCCUCGGAUACUGGCGGUCUCGAGGGAGGUAGGGGCGUGCGGAACUGUGGGUGGAGCGGUGAAAUGCGUUGAUAUCCACAGGAACUCCGGUGGCGAAAGCGGCGCGCUGGACCUCUUCUGACGCUGAGGCGCGAAAGCUAGGGGAGCAAACGGG
rnacentral:rRNA from 1 species